rfam:Megasphaera genomosp. type_1 str. 28L contig00002, whole genome shotgun sequence.
GGACACAACUCUGGAGAGUCCCGUAAGGGCGCCGAAGGUGCAAGAAAGAAAUCUUUCAAUCUCUCAGGCAAAAGGACAGAGAAUAGCAU